rnacentral:lncRNA from 1 species
GUUUUCGUGGGGUUAGAGCCGGAAUUGUUUGGGGACGAUGCUUAGGCCGGAGUUCCAGAAACUUUCUCUUUCGCUCUUUCAUUUUUUUUUCCUCUUGUAGACGAGUACUCUUUUUCCUUUUUACGAUUUUUCUCUUUGGGUUUUCCGUAAAAAGGUUUUAAUGAGGCUCGGCCCUUAGUCUGCUUUUCUUGUGCUUUCAAGGGUUUUUUUUUUGUUUUUCUUUUAUUUUUUAUAUAAAAUCACAGUUUAAUAAUUAUUAUAUAGUAAUUAAAUACCUUCAUUCACAAUCAUAAAACUAAAUUAUUUUUGAAAUUCUAUUUUUCAUAUAAUCC